rnacentral:rRNA from 1 species
GAUGAACGCUGUCGGCGUGCCUAAUACAUGCAAGUCGAGCGAACGGACGAGAAGCUUGCUUCUCUGAUGUUAGCGGCGGACGGGUGAGUAACACGUGGAUAACCUACCUAUAAGACUGGGAUAACUUCGGGAAACCGGAGCUAAUACCGGAUAAUAUUUUGAACCGCAUGGUUCAAAAGUGAAAGACGGUCUUGCUGUCACUUAUAGAUGGAUCCGCGCUGCAUUAGCUAGUUGGUAAGGUAACGGCUUACCAAGGCAACGAUGCAUAGCCGACCUGAGAGGGUGAUCGGCCACACUGGAACUGAGACACGGUCCAGACUCCUACGGGAGGCAGCAGUAGGGAAUCUUCCGCAAUGGGCGAAAGCCUGACNGGAGCACGCCGCGUGAGUGAUGAAGGUCUUCGGAUCGUAAAACUCUGUUAUUAGGGAAGAACAUAUGUGUAAGUAACUGUGCACAUCUUGACGGUACCUAAUCAGAAAGCCACGGCUAACUACGUGCCAGCAGCCGCGGUAAUACGUANGGUGGCAGCGUUAUCCGGAAUUAUUGGGCGUAAAGCGCGCGUAGGCGGUUUUUUAAGUCUGAUGUGAAAGCCCACGGCUCAACCGUGGAGGGUCAUUGGAAACUGGAAAACUUGAGUGCAGAAGAGGAAAGUGGAAUUCCAUGUGUAGCGGUGAGAUGCGCAGAGAUAUGGAGGAACACCAGUGGCGAAGGCGACUUUCUGGUCUGUAACUGACGCUGAUGUGCGAAAGCGUGGGGAUCAAACAGGAUUAGAUACCCUGGUAGUCCACGCCGUAAACGAUGAGUGCUAAGUGUUAGGGGGUUUCCGCCCCUUAGUGCUGCAGCUAACGCAUUAAGCACUCCGCCUGGGGAGUACGACCGCAAGGUUGAAACUCAAAGGAAUUGACGGGGACCCGCACAAGCGGUGGAGCAUGUGGUUUAAUUCGAAGCAACGCGAAGAACCUUACCAAAUCUUGACAUCCUUUGACAACUCUAGAGAUAGAGCCUUCCCCUUCGGGGGACAAAGUGACAGGUGGUGCAUGGUUGUCGUCAGCUCGUGUCGUGAGAUGUUGGGUUAAGUCCCGCAACGAGCGCAACCCUUAAGCUUAGUUGCCAUCAUUAAGUUGGGCACUCUAAGUUGACUGCCGGUGACAAACCGGAGGAAGGUGGGGAUGACGUCAAAUCAUCAUGCCCCUUAUGAUUUGGGCUACACACGUGCUACAAUGGACAAUACAAAGGGCAGCGAAACCGCGAGGUCAAGCAAAUCCCAUAAAGUUGUUCUCAGUUCGGAUUGUAGUCUGCAACUCGACUACAUGAAGCUGGAAUCGCUAGUAAUCGUAGAUCAGCAUGCUACGGUGAAUACGUUCCCGGGUCU